AGUCCGGUAGCUCAGUGGCAGAGCGGCGCCCUCAUGAGGCGACGGUCGGUGGAUCGUGCCCACCUCGGACUACCA
rnacentral:tRNA from 1 species